GACGAACGCUGGCGGCGUGCCUAAUACAUGCAAGUCGAGCGGACCGAACAGGAGCUUGCUCUUGUUCGGUUAGCGGCGGACGGGUGAGUAACACGUGGGUAACCUGCCCGUAAGACCGGGAUAACUCCGGGAAACCGGAGCUAAUACCGGAUAACACCGAAGACCGCAUGGUCUUUGGUUGAAAGGCGGCUUCGGCUGCCACUUACGGAUGGGCCCGCGGCGCAUUAGCUAGUUGGUGAGGUAACGGCUCACCAAGGCGACGAUGCGUAGCCGGCCUGAGAGGGUGACCGGCCACACUGGGACUGAGACACGGCCCAGACUCCUACGGGAGGCAGCAGUAGGGAAUCUUCCGCAAUGGACGAAAGUCUGACGGAGCGACGCCGCGUGAGCGAAGAAGGUCUUCGGAUCGUAAAGCUCUGUUGUUAGGGAAGAAGAAGCGUCGUUCGAACAGGGCGGCGCGGUGACGGUACCUAACGAGAAAGCCCCGGCUAACUACGU
rnacentral:rRNA from 1 species